rnacentral:rRNA from 1 species
CCCUUAGAUGUCCUGGGCUGCACGCGCGCUACACUGAUGUGUCCAGUAAGCACCUAACCUCUUCCGAAAGGAACGGGUAACCUUUGCAAAGCACAUCGUGAUGGGGAUAGAUUAUUGCAAUUAUUAGUCUUGAACGAGGAAUUCCUAGUAAGCACAAGUCAUCAGCUUGUGUUGAUUACGUCCCUGCCCUUUGUACACACCGCCCAUCGCUCCUACCGAUUGAAUGUUCCGGUGAGCUCUUCGGACUGCGCGGUCUGCAGUUUCUGCGUUCCGUGCGGAAAGUUGCGCAAACCUUAACAUUUAGAGGAAGGAGAAGUCGUAACA